CUUGAGGAGCUCUUAGCAGUGACUGCAAACUGAAAGAAAGCAGUGCAAGAAGCCAAACCUCUAAGGACAAAACACUGGAAUCAGCUGCUCUUUGAGGCAGAUAAAGUAAUGGCAGAAGUUCCUUCUCAAAGAGGAUCUAAGAACUUUCCUGGGAGAAGAGUCUGUGUGCACCAACAAAAGCUUAAGAAGGCAUCAGUACACCACUGGUGCCACUUCAAUGACUUCCCUUUUUACAUCACAUCCUGUGCCUAGAAUGGUGGAAAGGCUGCUCCAGUGAUACUCUUAUAUGGCAGUCUAAAAUGUCUCUAGGUCCAGUAGGAAUAAUGCAAAAAUUGCAGACUGAUCAUGCGAGAACUGAUGUCACUAAACCAGAAGUAAUCUAAGCACCCAAAGGUCCUGCCAAUGGUGGCUCCCACUGGCUGCGGUUCGCUGGUCCAGGCCAAUGGGAGCUGUGGGAAGCGGCGCGGGCCGAGGGACGUACCAGUUUUUUCCAGACAAAGGAAAGGGGUUGACAACUCAAGCCAGGUGUGGCCAAGGACAUUGGGCUAUUCAUUUGUAUCAGAGAUUUAAAGACGAUCAUUUGCUUUAUAAAAAAUCAAAAGUGUGAGAGAAGGCAGCAUGGCAUCAAUACCAGACAGCCUGGCUUCUAUACACAGCAGGGGAAAGGAGCUUUAUCUGGGGAUACACAUCAAAAGAAUACAUUUCAAAGGUUUACAGGACUAUGAAGAGAGGAGAAGAGAACCUCUAACUUUAUCCUUCACCUGAGGGAGAAAAAGUAACCCAGCUUUUGGGCUCUGUGUUGGAUCCUGGCUAAGAACCAUCCAACCAUGCUGGAAGAAUCGCUAUGGUGAAGAAACUUUGAACAAAAGACACUGGUUUGUUAAGCUGAGUUUUGGUUUUGGUAGCAUAUUUUCACGUUUGUUUGUCUGUAACCAU